ACGGUGGAUGCCUUGGCAGUCAGAGGCGAUGAAAGACGUGGUAGCCUGCGAAAAGCUUCGGGGAGUCGGCAAACUAGACUUUGAUCCGGUAGAUGUCUGUACACUGGGGGAACCCAUCCAUCAUAUAGGUUAUCUUGUACUGAAUAUCAUAGUGUGCAAGCAGGUCGAGAUCCAGGGGUAACUGAAACAUCUAAGGUACC
rnacentral:rRNA from 1 species